GAUGAACGCUGGCGGCGUGCCUAAUACAUGCAAGUCGAGCGGACGGACGCGAAGCUUGCUUUUCUGAUGUUAGCGGCGGACGGGUGAGUAACACGUGGAUAACCUACCUAUCAGACUGGGAUAACUACGGGAAACCGGAGCUAAUACCGGAUAAUAUUUUGAACCGCAUGGUUCAUAAGUGAAAGUCGGUCUUGCUGUCACUUAUAGAUGGAUCUGCGCUGCAUUAGCUAGUUGGUACGGUAAAGGCCUACCAAGGCUACCAUGCAUAGCCGACCUGAGAGGGGGAUCGGCCACAUGGGGACGUGGACAACGACCAGGCUCCUAAGGGAGGGCGCAGUAGGGAAUGGUCCGCAAUGGGGGAAAGCCUUACGGAACAACGGCGAGUGAGUGGAGAAGGUCUUCGGUUCGUAAAGCUCUGUUAUUAGGGAAGAACAUAUGUGUAAUGAACUGUGCACAGCUUGACGGUACCUAAUCAGAAAGCCACGGCUAACUACGUG
rnacentral:rRNA from 1 species